AGAGUACGUGAGGAACAAGAACAUAGGAAAUUGUGUAAGAAUCGGUCAGUUCAUCGCACAAUUUAUAUGAUUCGUUUAACAAGAGCGGAUAGGUCCAAGUGAUUAACAUAUAGGAAUUUCAAAUUUCCCAACAGAUUUUGUUAAAUCUUGGAAGCAAAGAAACUGGAAAAGAACUAAAGAAGUCCGCAGACAUAUUUGAACAUGGUUGAUGGAAACUAAAGAGAACAUCCUCAAAGACCUUGAAGGAGAAGAAGAAGAAGACAGGCCUUCACACAAUCACACCCCAGGAACCACAUCAAGACACAAGAACCUCAUCAUAAACUCGAACGGCAGGGGGAAUUUGUCAUGAGGCUCUUCACAUAUCUUUUCUACUUGCACCUAGUCUUGAUCUCCUUCUUGAUAAUCUUUCUGACAGCUUGCAGUCUUAUUUCCACCAAUCACAAGCACCAUUUCCACCCACUAAAGUUCUAUGCUCCACUCCUCUCUUCAACACUCUGCUCUGCAGUUGUCGCUUUGAUAUGGCAAUGGAUCAUCAGGUUAAGCCCUUCUAAAGCUAUUAAAACAGCCUUUUGGCUCAGCCAUUUGCUGAUCUGUGCAGUCGGUGUACUACUCAUAUACAUAAGUUCUGCUGAGAGUUUGGCCGCAGGAGGGGUUGCAAUCAUCUGUGCACUCAUUCAAUCGCUUUAUGCCUGCUGGGUCAGUCCCCGUAUCGAAUUCGCCAUGAGGAUAUUAUCAGUUUCUACAGCUGUCCCUCCGAAAUUCACAGCAUUACUCGUUCAAUCAAUUUUCACCUGUAUCCUCUACCUCUCUUUCUUGGUAUCCGGCAUCGGAGGAGCCACUGCCCUAAGUAGCAGUUUCAGUGUCUUGUUUAUCUCAAUUAUCUUGCUAAGCAUGGCAUGGACUAUGCAUGUCAUUAAGAACCUGCUGCAAGUCACAGUUUCACGCAUCAAGUACAUGCACUUUGCGUGCGGAGCAGAUGUUGAUACAAAUGAGGCUUUCUGCAACACACUUAAACAUUCAAUGGGGAGUAUCUGCAUUGGCUCCAUCUUGGUUCCAGUUCUGGGGGUUAUUCGGGGCUCAGCCAGAGGCAUGAAAUCGGUUGCAGGGGAUACAGACGAGUUUCUCUUUUCCUGUGCCAACUGCUAUUCAGGACUGGCUGCAACUCUGGUAAUGUAUGGAAAUCGCUGGGGUUUUGUGCAUGUUGGGGUAUAUAACAAGGGGUUUGUGCAGGCAUCAGCUGGUACAUGGGAGAUGUUCAGGAAUAUAGAACUACAAGAAAUAAUCGACUUAGAUCUCACAUCGUCGUUCUGUUUUCUUUCUGGGGUGGCAGGAGGUGCAAUAUGUAGCCUGGUCAGUGGAACUUAGACUCUGUCAAUUCAUAAGAGUUAUGCUACUGAAGUCUCCUUAUAUGCCUUCUUGAUUGGCUAUUUCAUGUGCAGGAUUGCUAUGGCAUGGCCGCAAGCAUGUGUCUUGUCUUACUAUGUAGCUUAUGCUGAGAACCCUAACAGCACGCGGUUCGACUCAACCAUUCCUCUUCGCAUUGAAGAGCUUCAGAGAUUUCAAGCUUAA